rfam:Capsella rubella cultivar Monte Gargano unplaced genomic scaffold scaffold_4, whole genome shotgun sequence.
AGAGGAAGGAUCCAAAGGGAUCGCAUUGAUCCUAAACUAAGAGGUGGAUUCUCCACUCAUUUGUUUUCUUAAUAAUUAGCAAACAAAUCACAAAAAAAAUUGCUUGGUUUUGGAUCAUGCCAUCUCUUUGGAUUCAUCCUU